rfam:Tupaia chinensis contig69693, whole genome shotgun sequence.
AGCUUUGCGCAGUGGCAGUAUCGUAGCCAAUGAGGUUUAUCCAAGGCGCGAUUAUUGCUAAUUAAAAAGUUCAGGGAAAAUGCAUAUGAAGAAAAGACUAUGCAUGAAUUUCAAUUUGUUUUAUACCAAAUUAAACUGGU